GAUAAUUCAUGGGCUACUGCCAUGCCAACAGAUCUUAUCUUAGCUGUUUGGUUUUAAACCCAGGAGCAGAAAAGGAGGGAAUUACAAUGUGACUUGUAUCCAAGGACAGUGCAUUCUUUAGGCCUUUUGGAGGUAAACUUAUGAUCAACACUUUGAUACUGUGUUUAGCUUUAUUAAAUUAUUAUGCCAAGUGCAUUUCUAUUUGGAACCAUUUAUUUAUUUAUUUUUUGAAAAAGGAAUAAUACUUGUAUUGGCUGAAGUUAGUGAAGAGUUCAAACUUCCCGUAAAUUGCCUCUGUGAUUCCCCCACAGCCAUCAGCUUCUUUGAAGUGGGAUGGCGACUUGAAUAAGCACUUUUGACCUUGGCCCACACAUUGCUCUGCUGGAAGGAAAAGACUCUGCUUUACCUUUGACUGUUCCUUUCUCCUAUAGAAACUGGUUUCUAAAGACUAAGAAGAGACAUUCUCAAAAAGGACAUAUCAGACAUGCGUGGUGGGUUGGGGGUGAGCAGAGCCUAAGAAGUUAACCCACGAAAAGACCUGGAGAAAGAGAAUCCAUGAGGGCAGAUGAAGAGAAUGGAAGUGAGAGCCUGAUCCCCUCUUGGGCUAGAGUGAACUCAUAAUUUAAAGGACAGAACAUCCAGAUUCUUACUCAUCAUUCCUGUAUUUAAACUAAACUGGGUGAAAGUACAGCUGACCAAGUUUUCAUCAGCAGGAGCCUGAGCCCCUCCCACUGAGUCCUCUCUCUCCCCUGAAGACAUUUGAGUCUGUCAGCUGACCUGCAAACUCAGUGGAACAGUUUGAAGACCACUGACAACCUGACUCGGCCUGGUGAAAAUCCAUGGAAAAUGUGCUUGUGAAGCAAAAUGGACCCAGGAAAACCCCGCUUGGGCUCCGCAAGGUCUGCGUUUAUUUUCUGCUGCCCCCACCCCAUCCCUCACCCCUGGGGGAAUGGGGAACUUUGCUGCACUAAGGAUUGCACCACUGGGGACUUGGCCUUUCCCCUUUCACUUCUCCACUGGGGGCCCUUCAGCACAAUAUAUGCUUCAUCCACCUCUGUGAGUACAAAGCCAUUUCACUGGGGAGGGGGGUUCUCUGUUGUAAUUAAGAAUUUGAGCUCUAGAGUCUGACUGCCAGGGCUCAAAGCCAGGCUCCAGGACUUGCUAGAUGCAAGAGCCUAGGCAGUCACUUACUCCCAUUUUGUCCCAAAUUUCCUCACUGGUGAUAUAAGGACAGUAAUAGCACCUGCCUCACAGGGUUGCUGUAAGGAUUAAACAAGAUAAUGACUGUAAGUCCUUUAGAACAGUGACAGAUAGAGUAAAUGUUUGGCAAAUACAAGAUGUCAUUAGGAACACAGUCUGUUUGCUUGCCUGACACAGAACAGCUAGCUCAAAUAGUUUGCUCCUUUUGCACUUAAUUUUCUGGGUCAUCUAAAUUUUCCUUGCUGGCUCCAAAUCGAACAUGUGUCCUCUGCAAUCACACCUAUGAUGUGUAAGUUUGAGAAGUACCACAUCAUUUCCAGGUGUCACUGCUUUCCUUCUGUUCUCUGAGCAGCAAAACCAUAAUGACUACUCCCAGAAGUUUCUAGAAACUCCAACUUUGUUGGUUUUAGUUUUCCCAAAGAUACUUUGUCUUUCAACUCCUAUAGUUCUUUUAGUUUGACUUUUCCUUCUUGUAUCUUGAAAAAUCUAUAUUUCAAACAAUUUUUAAUUAGUACAAACAGGACUGGCCACAUAAUUUUCAGGACCCAUUGCAAAAUGAAAAUGUAGGUGCCUUGUUCACAAUUAUUAAGAAUUUCAAGGCAGUGACAGCAAAGCAUUAAACCAAGUGCAGGGCCAUGAAACUGGCCCUGAGUACAAACAUAUUUAAAGGCUUUGCUUUAUUUAUGCCACAAUCAGGAUGGGAUAUGCAAUUUACACAGUAAGAUUUUUGUCACUUGCUAGACCCCAAGACCUAACUUUUACUGUCUACCUGCUUGUACUCACUAGCCUUUGUCUUAUAUUUUUCCUUAAUCUCUUCUUUCUGGCUUGCCUCUUAACUCUGGCAAAUGAAACCUGAAACCACCCCUCAGGGGAUGGCAACUGCCCAGACAAGACCACCCAGACCCUUUGAGUUAACCCCCCACCUCCUCUCAAAGGCCUGCACAGAUGGACUGUGGAGUGACCCCACCCCUCAUGACUGGUAGUUGCCUUUACCUCAUCAUAAUACUAAAAUUUCCACCCAAGAAGGAGACUCAGCCUCAUUUAUAUGACAUGCAAUGUAUGUAUAGGCAUGUUUCCUUAAGGCGCAUGAUCAAUCUUAUGUCUGCCUCCACAUAGGAUGACAAGGCUUCCCUAUCUAAAAUAUUUAUCCUAUAGAUUUUGGAUACCAGCCCUUUAUCUGUUAUGUCAUUUUCUUCUCCCAUUCCAUAGGUUGUCUUUUAGUUUUGUUGACUGUUUCCUUUGCUGUGCAGAAGCUUUUUAUCUUGAUGAAGUCCCCAAAGUUCAUUUUUGCCUUUGUUUUUCUUGCCUUUAGAGAUGUGUCUUGCAAGAGGUUGCUGCGGCCUAAGUUGAAAUGGUUGCUGCCUAUGUUCUCCUCUAGGAUUUUGAUGGAUUCCUAUAUCACAUUUAGAUCUUUCAUCCAUUUUGAGUUUAUAUUUGUGUAAGGUGUAAGGAAAUGGUCCAGUUUCAUCCUUCUGCAUGUGGCUGUCCAAUUUUCCCAGCACCAUUUAUUAAAGAGACUGUCUUUUUUCCAUUGGAUAUUCUUCCCUGCUUUACCAAAGAUUAGUUGACCAUAGAGUUGAGGGUCCAUUUCUGGGCUCUCUAUUCUGUUCCAUUGAUCUAUGUGUCUGUUUUUGUGCCAGUACCAUGCUGUCUUGAUGAUUACAGCUUUGUAAUAGAGCUUGAAGUCCGGAAUUGUGAUGCCACCAGGUUUGGUUUUCUUUUUCAACAUUCCUCUGGCUAUUUGGGGUCUUUUCUGGUUCCAUACAAAUUUUAGGAUUAUUUGUUCCAGCUCUGUGAAAAAUGUCGAUGGUAUUUUGAUAGGGAUUGCAUUGAAUGUGUAGAUUGCUCUGGGAAGCAUAGGCAUUUUAAGAAA